AACUGAAGAAUGAACCUCUGGAAGGACUAAGGGGAACAAUUCUUGGAGCUCAGUUCUUUCUGUCACCUCUCUGAAGACCUGGUUCAUAUCUGCAGCUGCAACUCUAUCCCUGAACUCAUCUUUGAAACUACCCAGAGGUCCACGUCACCUUUAGGAGCUGUAACACUCACCGCGAAGGUCUGCAGCUUCACUCCUGAAGCCAGCGAGACCACGAACCCACCGGGAGGGAUGAACAACUCCGGACGGGAGGAAUGAACAACUCCAGACGUGCCAUCUUAAGAGCUGUAACACUCACUGCGAAGGUCUGCAGCUUCACUCCUGAAGCCAGCAUGACCAUGAACCCACCAGAAGGAAGAAACUCUGAACACAUCUGAACAUCAGAAGGAACAAACUCCAGACACGCCACCUUUAAGAACUGUAACACUCACCGCGAGGGUCCGCAGCUUCGUUCUUGAAAUCAGUGAGCCCAAGAACCCACCAAUUCCAGACACAGUAACACCAGUUAUCACUGAUUGCA
rnacentral:lncRNA from 1 species